GUACCAGGUAAUAACAUGGUUAUAUACAGGGAGUACCAGGUAAUAACAUGGUUAUAUACAGGAAGUACCAGGUAAUAACAUGGCUAUAUACAGGGAGUACCAGGUAAUAACAUGGCUAUAUACAGGGAGUACCAGGUAAUAACAUGGCUAUAUACAGGGAGUACCAGGUAAUAACAUGGCUAUAUACAGGAAGUACCAGGUAAUAACAUGGCUAUAUACAGGGAGUACCAGGUAAUAACAUGGUUAUAUACAGGGAGUACCAGGUAAUAACAUGGCUAUAUACAGGGAGUACCAGGUAAUAACAUGGCUAUAUACAG
rnacentral:lncRNA from 1 species